GGAGGAAGCAUUAGUGUCGAAGAUAAUCCAGAUCUGUGUAAGAUUUCAUUCGAGCACUUCUAUGCGUAUGGGAGUUUGAGGGGUGAAUGCCGUCCAGAUGUGUGGUGGUAUCUCAGCGGUUGUUUUGAAUAAGAGGAGUUCGGCGUUGGGUCGUCAAUAUAGGGAUGGUGGAGUAGUACCUGCAGUGGGUCUUGUUGUCAUGAGUGUUGAUCGGCCUUGGGUGUGUUCAGAGUUUUGAACCACCGCGUCGGAGAGGUG
rnacentral:sRNA from 1 species